UGACCAUUGGUGUUGAUGCAACGCUCAUGGCUACCACAAGGAUUCUUUUCAAAACAUUCGUUUAUAUCUACAUAUGUAAAAAAGGGAAAAGGAAGGGCCCCUUCAUAUAUUCUGAAACACAUUUAUUUAUGUUACUGCUGACUUAAGGCGGGUUGAUAGUUCCGAUCAUGGUCACAUAUGGAUUGCCCCGUCAGUUAACUGUAUAAAUAUUAUAAAUUACUAGGUGACUCGGCAAACGUUGUUUUGCUAGUCGAAGAAAUAAAUUUGAUGUAAAUGCUCUA